UACGGAGGGUGCAAGCAUUAAUCGGAUUUAUUGGGCGUAAAGCGCGCGUAGGUGGCUUCGUAAGUCCGUUGUGAAAGUCAAAGGCUCAACCUUUGAAAGCCGAUGGAUACUGCGGAGCUAGAGUCCGGAAGAGGAGAGUGGAAUUCCUGGUGUAGCGGUGAAAUGCGCAGAUAUCAGGAGGAACACCCGUGGCGAAAGCGGCGUCUCUGGGACGGUACUGACGCUGAGACGCGAAAGCGUGGGGAGCAAACAGG
rnacentral:rRNA from 1 species